AUCAUGGCAUCAAUCACCUUGCAUGUUUUAAUUAAAUCCCUCAAGAAAAUUAGUUUUAUUAAAACCCUAUGUUUGUUUGCAAAAUUAUUCCAAGGUUUAAUAAAACCCUCCCACCUUUAUUCAUAUUUCAAUUGAACCGAAUAAAAAAUAUUUUUAAUAUGCUUUCAAGUGGUUUAAAACCAAAUGCCUAGUUUUUGUAAAUAGUGCCACUACUUUAAAACCUUAUCAAACUUCCUCUGAUCCCUUCUCUCGUUUCUCUUUGCUUCCUGGAAGAAUUCGUGAGAAAAAGAAGACAGAAGAAAUUGAGAAGAGAAGCAAAGAAGCACUGUUCAGCCACCAGUCCAACAGCAUGUCGCCACCAUCCUGUUCUUUGUUUUUCUUCAACCAGUGACCCAGAACGUGAACUCCUUGCUGGCCAACGUUUUUCCCAACCACGACCAGACUGCUUUUCCUCCCCUUUUAGUUCCCCAGCCGAGGAUCCUCAUUGAACCCUAGUUUCCCUUCUUCCCCUCCUUGUGCCGCCACCAAUUCCUCUUCUCCGCGCAUGACUGCAGACAGAGGCUUUUAGAGACAGUUUCAGAAAGUUCAGACAAAUCCCGAGCCCCGACGGAAGAUCGACGUCGCCCUGCAGCUCCGGCCAUGCCCCGGCGUCGUUGACACCUCCAUAGUCUUCCUGGAUCUCGUCGCCGACGACUCCCGGUUGACCCCGGUCCCAGCGCCUACUCCACCACGUCCGCCCAGUCGAGGCACACGUCCGGCGCCGUCUUCUCCCUCGCCGUUCACCCUCCAUCGUCAGGGCCGUGCUCGACGCCAUCUUCUCCAAGCCCGGCCUGUUGUUAUGCAUCUCCGUCAGAUAAGUUUCCACACGCCUGGAGAUAGUUCCUUUCUACGCAUGAGCCAAGCAAAAUCAGCAUGUCAAAGCAGCCCACUGGCUUAAGGCCUUGAUCUCUUCCCUGAUCGAUCUCACGGCCAGAGAUGUUUCAGUUUGCAUGGGAGCUUUCCAAAAUCAACAUCAACAAGGAGUAUAGCUGGUUUGUUUCCUUUGGCUCCAAACGACACUAUGCUCAAUUCCAGGGAUGCAAUUUAACAGUUGCCGCUUCAGUCAGCAUUUGCUUCUUCCCGGAUAGGAUCGCGAAGUGGUGUGGUGAGAUACGGCAAGUUCUCCGGAUGUCCCUCGGCAAGCUUUAACGGGCAAGCAUUUUCCCCUAUACUUCUGCCCCUGCAGAAGUCGCUCACCUAUUUUAUUUUGCCUUCUCCCUCAUGCUAUCCUCAAGUUGCGUUCUUCUCACGUGUCCCUUCCACUUGUUACCUCAAGCAGCCUAUAUUGCCUCCACUAACCACCUACAGCUAUUGUUUGGUUAUCGGGUCUGCCUUGCGAGUCGUAGUGCAUGCUAGUGCUGUUUAUAUCUCGUUACCGUUACCGCUAUCUUAUCGGGUUAUCAGUUGGGAAUCAUGACAUAUGGUUUAUGGAUAUAUCUGUUGAGGGUAUCAUGGUUACUUGUUAAUAGUUGUUAGCGGAGGCAUCGGUGGGUCAGCUGAUCGUUUUGUGACGGCUCACUUGUGUUUCUUUAAAGCUUAGGACCCCAAGUUCUUGUUAUCUGUUCCGAGACUAAGCGCUCUAACCAUACGUGGGUAUGUUUCUGGGUCUCCCCUCGACCACUGCCAGAAUCUACAGCUUUGUCCAGUGGCCACAACUAGUUUCGUAAUGUUUUACCAUUUGUUGUUUGCGUGCAUGCCAGCAUGCUACUUAUUUACUUUGGGAAGCCCCUGGGUGCCUUGUAUCCCUUGUUUCUGGUAUGCACGUAUAGGUCGUGGAGCCUCUGCGAAGUGGUUUAUCGCCCCAGUGUGUGUUUAAACCACCUAGCACGUUGACACACAUAGCUAAGUCCGCUUCGGAGAUACGGCCGAACUUCGAUACGGGUUCAACUUAGUUAGGUGGCUUCCUGGACAUUGUUGUCGUGAAGGAGAGUGCGAGUCGUUAUAUCCACCUGUCGCAAGUGGGUUGAUCGUGCGUGUGGGCACAUUUGGGCACCCCUGCAGGGUUAAAUCUUAUCGAUAAGCCGUGUCCGCGGUUAUGGACGACUUGGAGCUGUAUGACUCGACCAUAGACCACUUACACCCGUUGUUUCAAUACUAAUAACUUGCGUAGUAAGUUAGCACAACUUCAAUAAAAUCUGGGUAAAACUUGUCAACUGUGUGAGU